GCGUCUGUGGUGUAAUGGUUAGCAUGGUUGCCUUCCAAGCAAUCGAGAGGGGUUCGAUUCCCUCAGACGCA
rfam:Toxocara canis scaffold471, whole genome shotgun sequence.